AUUGAACGCUGGCGGCAGGCCUAACACAUGCAAGUCGAGCGGAUGACGGGAGCUUGCUCCUUGAUUCAGCGGCGGACGGGUGAGUAAUGCCUAGGAAUCUGCCUGGUAGUGGGGGACAACAUUUCGAAAGGAACGCUAAUACCGCAUACGUCCUACGGGAGAAAGCAGGGGACCUUCGGGCCUGGCGCUCUCAGAUGAGCCGAGGUAGGAUUAGCUUGUUGGUGAGGUAAUGGAUCACCAAGGCGACGAUCCGGAACUGGUCUGAGAGGAUGAUCAGUCACACUGGAACUGAGACACGGUCCAGACUCCUACGGGAGGCAGCAGUGGGGAAUAUUGGACAAUGGGCGAAAGCCUGAUCCAGCCAUGCCGCGUGUGUGAAGAAGGUCUUCGGAUUGUAAAGCACUUUAAGUUGGGAGGAAGGGUUGUAGAUUAAUACUCUGCAAUUUUGACGUUACCGACAGAAUAAGCACCGGCUAACUCUGUGCCAGCCGCCGCCGUAA
rnacentral:rRNA from 1 species